rnacentral:misc_RNA from 1 species
UCUCCGUAGGUGAACCUGCGGAGGGAUCAUUACAGAGUUCUCGCCCUCGCGGGUAGAUCUCCCACCCACUGUUAUCGUUACUGUGUUGCUUUGGCGGGCCGCCGGGCCCGCUCGGCCGCCGGCUCCGGCUGGCGCGCGCCCGCCAGAGGCCCAGCAAACUCUGAAUGUUAGUGUCGUCUGAGUACUAUAUAAUAGUUAAAACUUUCAACAACGGAUCUCUUGGUUCUG